GGUAAAAUGGCUGAGUGAAGCAUUAGACUGUAAAUCUAAAGACAGAGGUUCAUACUCCUCUUUUUACCA
rnacentral:tRNA from 2 species